CUCCGGUGACUAAAGCAGCCAUUCCAUCGAGAGACCAUCUUUUAAUUCUGCUAAUGAACUUGUGCUCCCCCAUGAUUUUCUUCACGGUUUACUGAAAGCUUCAACUAAAGAAGUUUAAAUGCAAAAAGCUUUUGACAGCAGCUAGCUAGGCUUCUUUAACUCUUGAUCGAUUUGAUUCUUCAAUUACUUUCUGGAAAAGGAUAAAAGAUUUUUAAUUUUCUGCAAUAGCGGUAAGAGCUGGAAUUUUUUGAGAACCACAGAUCCCAAGUAAUCAAACUUACUGAAAUAAUUUUGUUCACUCGACCACCACACAUAACUGGUACACCACACGAAUGAUGGAACAUGGCAUUAGUUUUGAAGAGAUUAUCUUUUACCUAUACAUUCUCUUUGGCAGUUGGUACUGAUUAUAGUUGACUAACACUUCUGGAAAUGCUUGAGGUUACCUUAAUUACUGGUUAGAUGAUCAACAGUAGGUGCCAUUUUUUGUCUCUGCGGCUCAACUCUUCUUCUCCCAUGUGUUGUGUCCAUUAUUUAUUCAAGUCCUUAACCCAACUAAUUCUGUCCUCAAUGCACUCUUCAUU
rnacentral:lncRNA from 1 species